rnacentral:rRNA from 1 species
GAUCCUGGCUCAGGACGAACGCUGGCGGCAUGCCUAACACAUGCAAGUCGAACGGAGUAAUGACUUCGGUUAUACUUAGUGGCGAACGGGUGAGUAACACGUGAAUAAUCUGCCCUGUACGAUGGGAUAACAGCUGGAAACGGCUGCUAAUACCGUAUAUGACCACGCCGAGGCAUCUCGGAGGGGUGAAAGCGCUUAAGCGGUACAGGAUGAGUUCGCGUCCAAUUAGCUAGUUGGUGAGGUAACGGCCCACCAAGGCGACGAUUGGUAGCCGACCUGAGAGGGUGAUCGGCCACACUGGAACUGAGACACGGUCCAGACUCCUACGGGAGGCAGCAGUGGGGAAUAUUGGGCAAUGAAGGAAACUCCUUACCCAGCAAUGCCGCGUGAGUGAUGAAGGUCUUCGGAUUGUAAAGCUCUUUGAUUGGGGACGAAUAAAUGACGGUACCCAAGGAACAAGCCCCGGCUAACUAUGUGCCAGCCGCCGC